rnacentral:rRNA from 1 species
AUGUCUGUGACCCUAACCAGCCCUAAGACACUGACUAUUGGCAAAACUUCUAAAAAUCAUAGAAAUUCAACCGUAACUCCAAAUGAAAUAAAUAUAUAUGAAAAAUUGUCAAAAAAAUUCAAGGAAUCCAUCUGUACCAUUUUCAUGCAUGUUAGAACAACUAAGGCCACUGUUUAG